UACGAAGGGGGCUAGCGUUGUUCGGAUUUACUGGGCGUAAAGCGCACGUAGGCGGACUAUUAAGUCAGGGGUGAAAUCCCGGGGCUCAACCCCGGAACUGCCUUUGAUACUGGUAGUCUUGAGUUCGAGAGAGGUGAGUGGAAUUCCGAGUGUAGAGGUGAAAUUCGUAGAUAUUCGGAGGAACACCAGUGGCGAAGGCGGCUCACUGGCUCGAUACUGACGCUGAGGCACGAAAGCGUGGGGAGCAAACAGG
rnacentral:rRNA from 1 species